rnacentral:rRNA from 1 species
GGUUUAAUUCGAUGAUACGCGAGGAACCUUACCCGGGCUUGAACUGCAGGAGAACGAUUCAGAGAUGAUGAGGUCCUUCGGGACUCCUGUGGAGGUGCUGCAGGUUGUCGUCAGCUCGUGCCGUGAGGUGUCGGCUUAAGUGCCAUAACGAGCGCAACCCCUCUCCGUAGUUGCCAUCGGGUGAUGCCGGGCACUCUGCGGACACUGCCACCGUAAGGUGUGA